rnacentral:pre_miRNA from 1 species
GACGUACUCCCUCCGUUCGGUAUUACUUGUCACAAAAAUGGAUGUAUCUACAACUAAAAUACAUCUAGAUACAUUCAUUUCUUCGACGAGUAAUUCCGAACGGAGGGAGUAGGUU